AGCGAACGCUGGCGGCAGGCCUAACACAUGCAAGUCGAACGGGCUCUUCGGAGCUAGUGGCGGACGGGUGAGUAACACGUGGGAACGUGCCUUUAGGUUCGGAAUAAGCCCGGGGAACUGGGUCUAAUACCGAAUGUGCCCUUCGGGGGAAAGAUUUAUCGCCUUUAGAGCGGCCCGCGUCUGAUUAGCUAGUUGGUGAGGUAAUGGCUCACCAAGGCGCCGAUCAGUAGCUGGUCUGAGAGGAUGACCAGCCACAUUGGGACUGAGACACGGCCCAAACUCCUACGGGAGGCAGCAGUGGGGAAUCUUGCGCAAUGGGCGAAAGCCUGACGCAGCCAUGCCUCGUGGAUGAUGAGGGUCUUAGGAUUGUAAAAUCCUUUCACCGGUGAAGAUAAUGACUGUAGCCGGAGAAGAAGCCCCGGCUAACUUCGUGCCAGCCGCCGCAGUAACAC
rnacentral:rRNA from 1 species